AAUGAACGUUGGCGGCGUGGAUUAGGCAUGCAAGUCGAGCGGACCCCGCAAGGGGUUAGCGGCGAAAGGGACAGUAACGUGUAGAUACGUACCCUGGGGUCUGGGAUAGCUGCGGGAAACUGCAGGUAAUACCAGAUAACAUCUUCGGAUCAAAGGUGUGAUUCCGCCCUUGGAUCGGUCUACAUCCUAUUAGGUAGUUGGUAAGGUAAUGGCUUACCAAGCCUGUGAUGGGUAGCGGGUGUGAGAGCACGACCCGCGUCAUUGGGACUGGGACACUGCCCAGACACCUACGGGUGGCUGCAGUCGAGGAUCUUCGGCAAUGGGCGCAAGCCUGACCGAGCGACGCCGCGUGUGGGAUGAAGGCCUUCGGGUUGUAAACCACUGUCGUAGGGGAGGAAGGCCAAGUGAAGAACUUGGCUUGACCUAGCCUAGGAGGAAGGGUGGGCUAAGUUCGUGCCAGCAGCCGCAGUAAAAC
rnacentral:rRNA from 1 species